rnacentral:rRNA from 1 species
AGUGAACGCUGGCGGUAGGCCUAACACAUGCAAGUCGAACGGCAGCACAGUAAGAGCUUGCCCUUACGGGUGGCGAGUGGCGGACGGGUGAGGAAUACAUCGGAAUCUACUUUUUCGUGGGGGAUAACGUAGGGAAACUUACGCUAAUACCGCAUACGACCUACGGGUGAAAGCAGGGGAUCUUCGGACCUUGCGCGACUGAAUGAGCCGAUGUCGGAUUAGCUAGUUGGCGGGGUAAAGGCCCACCAAGGCGACGAUCCGUAGCUGGUCUGAGAGGAUGAUCAGCCACACUGGAACUGAGACACGGCCCAGACUCCUACGGGAGGCAGCAGUGGGGAAUAUUGGACAAUGGGCGCAAGCCUGAUCCAGCCAUGCCGCGUGGGUGAAGAAGGCCUUCGGGUUGUAAAGCCCUUUUGUUGGGAAAGAAAAGCAGCAGGUUAAUACCCCGCUGUUCUGACGGUACCCAAAGAAUAAGCACCGGCUAACUUCGUG